rnacentral:tRNA from 1 species
CAGGGAGACAACAAAAUGUUAAAUAUUAAUUUUGUCACCUUAGGUCGAUCGGUAUCUCAGAUUCUUAAAUUACUUUAAGAAUUUCAUUUCCUAAGUUUUUUCUAGGUCACACCCAUUACUUUUCCUGGGCCAUUAGCUCAGGUGGUUAGAGCGCACCCCUGAUAAGGGUGAGGUCCCUGGUUCAAGUCCAGGAUGGCCCAUAUCUCUAUGUUGGGGGUAUAGCUCAGUUGGUAGAGCGCCUGCUUUGCAAGCAGGAUGUCAGCGGUUCGAGUCCGCUUACCUCCACUGAUUACCACCUCUUCCAUAAAUUUAAAGAAGGGAAUUGUUAUUAGAUGUGAUUUAGUUCUGAACGAAUCUAGCUUCCUAAUCAAUAGAUUAAGAUGCUGGACUCAUUGAAUGUUAUUCAUUGUUUUCAGAGAACCUUGACAACUGCAUAGAUUAUUUUUAAAGACAAUAAACAUCUUUAAUAAUGCAGAUUUAUUAUUUGUGCAAAUGCAUUAGUAACAAUUCUAUUAAGCUGAUGCUUCAAUUUUUGAAGUUAUU